CAAUCUGAGGAGCGUUGCGACUUUGUCGAUGCCUAGCAUCCAAAGCCAGGCUCAGAUUUGGAACGUUGCUCACGUUUUUACCUAGAACAACGACGCUCACCUACC
rnacentral:ncRNA from 1 species